GGGGAAUUUUCCGCAAUGGGCGCAAGUCUGACGGAGCAACGCCGCGUGCAGGAGGACGCUUUUCGGAGUGUAAACUGCUUUUCUGUGGGACGAGCAAGGACGGUACCACAGGAAGAAGCCCCGGCUAACUACGUGCCAGCAGCCGCGGUAAUACGUAGGGGGCGAGCGUUGUCCGGAGUUACUGGGCGUAAAGGGCAUGCAGGCGGUCGGACGCGUUUCCAGUGACAGUGGGUGGCUUACCUACCCGAGGAUUGGAAAGACGGUUUGACUUGAGGACUCGAGAGGGACACGGAAUUCCGGGUGGAGUGGUGAAAUGCGUAGAGAUCCGGAGGAACAUCAAAGGCGAAGGCAGUGUCCUGGCGAGUAACUGACGCUGAGGUGCGAAAGCUAGGGGAGCGAAAGGGAUUAGAUACCCCUGUAGUC
rnacentral:rRNA from 1 species